GCCUGGGUGGCUCAGUCAGUUAAGCGUCCGACUUCAGCUCAGGUCAUGAUUUCCCAGUUCAUGGGUUCGAGUCCCAUGUCAGGCU
rnacentral:tRNA from 1 species